UACGGAGGGUGCGAGCGUUGUCCGGAAUCAUUGGGCGUAAAGGGCGCGUAGGUGGCUUCUUAAGCGUGCGGUGAAAGCCUGGGGCUCAACCCCGGGUCGGCCGUGCGAACUGGGGGGCUGGAGCACUGUAGAGGCAGGCGGAAUUCCGGGUGUAGCGGUGGAAUGCGUAGAGAUCCGGAAGAACACCGGUGGCGAAGGCGGCCUGCUGGGCCGACACUGACACUGAGAGACGAAAGCUAGGGGAGCGAAUGGG
rnacentral:rRNA from 1 species